rnacentral:piRNA from 1 species
CAGCAAAGCAACACAGACACUCCAUCCC